rnacentral:tRNA from 1 species
CAAAAAAUAGUUUACAUUAAAAUUAUAAUUUUGGAGAUUAUAGAUAAAGAUAUUUCUUUUUUUUUGA